ACGGGUGAGUAACGCGUGGGAAUCUACCUUUUGCUACGGAAUAACGCAUGGAAACGUGUGCUAAUACCGUAUGUGCCCUUCGGGGGAAAGAUUUAUCGGCAAAGGAUGAGCCCGCGUUGGAUUAGCUAGUUGGUGGGGUAAAGGCCUACCAAGGCGACGAUCCAUAGCUGGUCUGAGAGGAUGAUCAGCCACACUGGGACUGAGACACGGCCCAAACUCCUACGGGAGGCAGCAGUGGGGAAUAUUGGACAAUGGGCGCAAGCCUGAUCCAGCCAUGCCGCGUGAGUGAUGAAGGCCUUAGGGUUGUAAAGCUCUUUCACCGGUGAAGAUAAUGACGGUAACCGGAGAAGAAGCCCCGGCUAACUUCGUGCCAGCAGCCGCGGUAAUACGAAGGGGGCUAGCGUUGUUCGGAUUUACUGGGCGUAAAGCGCACGUAGGCGGAUCGAUCAGUCAGGGGUGAAAUCCCAGGGCUCAACCCUGGAACUGCCUUUGAUACUGUCGAUCUGGAGUAUGGAAGAGGUGAGUGGAAUUCCGAGUGUAGAGGUGAAAUUCGUAGA
rnacentral:rRNA from 1 species